CCUACGGGAGGCAGCAGUGAGGAAUAUUGGUCAAUGGGCUUACGCCUGAACCAGCUAAGUCGCGUGAAGGAUGACUGCCCUCCGGGUUGUAAACUUCUUUUAUAAAGGAAUAAAGUGAGGCACGUGUGCCUUUUUGUAUUUACUUUAUGAAUAAGGAUCGGCUAACUCCGUGCCAGCAGCCGCGGUAAUACGGAGGAUCCGAGCGUUAUCCGGAUUUAUUGGGUUUAAAGGGAGCGUAGAUGGGUUGUUAAGUCAGUUGUGAAAGUUUGCGGCUCAACCGUAAAAUUGCAAUUGAUACUGGCAGUCUAGAGUACAGUUGAGGGAGGCGGAAUUCGUGGUGUAGCGGUGAAAUGCUUAGAUAUCACGAAGAACUCCGAUUGCGAAGGCAGCCUACUAAACUGCCACUGACAUUGAUGCUCGAAAGUGUGGGGAUCAAACAGGAUUAGAUACCCGAGUAGUC
rnacentral:rRNA from 1 species